CAGGUCUUUAAAAAAUCUCUACCGGCAUGUCUAUUCCUGUUAAUUGUCCUAGGGAUUGCCAUAAUCGCAGCCCAUAUUAAUGGCACCGGAUCCCACAUGUCCCAUAUGCCUCAUGCUCCUCCACCAAAUGUCAGUAUGCAUUGUGUCCCUCCACCCCCUCCACCAAGUGCCCACAUGCAUCGCGCACCUCCACCCCCUCCACCAAGUGCCCUGCCAAGUGCCCAUAUGCAUUGUGCCUCUUCAUCAAGUGCCCAGACGCAUCCUGUCCCUUCACCCCCUCCACCAGGUGCUCAUGCCCAUAAGCAUCGUGCCUCUCCACAAGGUGCUCGUGCCCAU
rnacentral:lncRNA from 1 species